rnacentral:rRNA from 1 species
ACGAACGCUGGCGGCGUGCCUAACACAUAGCAAGUCGAGCGAAUGAAGUUUCUUCGGGAACGGNUUUAGCGGCGGACGGGUGAGUAACACGUGGGCAACCUGCCUCAUAGAGGGGAAUAGCCUUCCGAAAGGGAGAUUAAUACCGCAUAAGAUUGUAGUACCGCAUGGUACAGCAAUUAAAGGAGCAAUCCGCUAUGAGAUGGGCCCGCGGCGCAUUAGCUAGUUGGUGAGGUAACGGCUCACCAAGGCGACGAUGCGUAGCCGACCUGAGAGGGUGAUCGGCCACAUUGGGACUGAGACACGGCCCAGACUCCUACGGGAGGCAGCAGUGGGGAAUAUUGCACAAUGGGGGAAACCCUGACGCAGCAACGCCGCGUGAAGGAUGAAGGUCUUCGGAUUGUAAACUUUUGUCUUAUGGGAAGAAAAAAAUGACGGUACCAUAGGAGGAAGCCACGGCUAACUACGUG